rnacentral:rRNA from 1 species
AGCGAACGCUGGCGGCAGGCCUAACACAUGCAAGUCGAACGACCCUUUCGGGGUUAGUGGCGGACGCGUGAGUAACGUGUGGGAACGUGCAUUUAGGCUCGGAAUAACUCAUGGAAACUUGUGCUAAUACCGAAUAUGUCAUUCGGGUGACAGAUUCGUCGCCGUUAGAGCGGCCCGCGUUUGAUUAGCUAGUUGGUUGUGGUAAUGGCUAACCAAGGUGACGAUCAGUACCGGGUCUGAGAGGAUGAUCAGCCACAUUGGGACUGAGACACGGCCCAAACUCCUACGGGAUGCAGCAGUGGGGAAUCUUGCGCAAUGGGCGAAAGCCUGACGCAGCCAUGCCGCGUGAAUGAUGAAGGUCUUAGGAUUGUAAAAUUCUUUCACCGGGGACGAUAAUGACGGUACCCGGAGAAGAAGCCCCGGCUAACUUCGUG